GACGAACGCUGGCGGCGUGCUUAACACAUGCAAGUCGAACGGAAAGGCCCUGCUUUUGUUGGUUGCUCGUGUGGCGAACGGGUGAGUAACACGUGAGUAACCUGCCCUUGACUUUGGGAUAACUUCUGGAAACUCCGGCUAUUACCCGAUAUGAGCUCCUGCUGCAUGUUGGUGGUUGGUAAGUUUCGGCGGUUGGGGAUGUACUCGCUGGUUAUCCGCUUGUUUGUGGGGUAGUGGCUUACCAAGGCUUUGACGGGUAGCCGGCCUGAGAGGGUUACCGGCCACAUUGGGACUAAGAUAGGGAGCAGAAUGCAACGGGAGGCAGCAGUGGAGAAUAUUGCACAAUGGGCGGAAGCGUGAUACAGAAACGCCGGGAGCGGGAUGACGGGCUACGAGUUAUAAACAGAUUUCGAAUGAGAAGAAGAGUGAGUGACGGUAAUGGGUAAAAAAGCACCGGCUAACUACGUG
rnacentral:rRNA from 1 species